GCCAGUGUGGUGUAGUGGUUUAAGCAUUACAUUGUCACCCUGGAGACCAGGGUUUGAACCCCCGCUUGGCC